rnacentral:lncRNA from 1 species
GUUUUACAGAAGUCCCUGGGACAACGGCCAUACCUGGUACAUAAGUUCAAGUGAGAAUAUCCAGGGAGAAUGUAUAAGACAAGAAGUUUCUCACAGCAGAAAACAUGCCACUUGCACCCCGUUCCAGCACCCUGGAGAAACGAGAAGUCACAGGUCAAGACAGAAGUGGUUUCAGACAGAUGGUACAAGUUAGUUUCAUCUUCCCGUCAGCUGUCAGCCACCGAGACAAUUGUGAAUUCCCAUCUAAGAUGGUCCGCGAGGUUUUCUCUAACUCUAGGCACCACGUCGGCUGAUUUUCCACCUGAAUUUCAACUGCACUCUCCCAUUGCUUCUGUAAAAUCUUGCCUUUGCCAUGUUUCAGUUUUUGUUCAGUUUUGAUUGUUAAAGUAAUUACAGGCAAAUAAUCAAGUGUACAAACCUUAAGUAUACACCUCGAGAGUUUUACCUAUGUCCACACAUGCACAGACAGAAUAUUUCUAGCACCCAAGGAGUUUCCUCCAUGUCUCUAACCAGUCCAAAGCAUAGCCCUACUUCUGUCCACGUCAUCAUCUUUUUGCUUUGCCUUCUGUAGAACUCCAUAGAAAUGAGAGCACAUUGUGUGGAGUCUUUUGGAUCUGAAUACGGUUAUUCACGAUAACACCUGUGAAUCUC